UUAAGUUCAGCGGGUAUUCCUACCUGAUCCGAGGUCAAACUGGAUGAAGAUGAUGUUCACGACCAGCACCGAUCGGGUCUACAGAGUGGUGAUGGAAGCCCAUACACUCGACACCGGUAUCUCGAUGCUGCCACUGCAUUUCAGGCCCGUCCACACAGGGACGAUGGCCCAACACACAAGCCGUGCUUGAGGGGUUGCAA
rnacentral:misc_RNA from 1 species